rnacentral:rRNA from 1 species
AAUGAACGCUGGCGGCAGGCCUAACACAUGCAAGUCGAACGGAUCCUUCGGGAUUAGUGGCGGACGGGUGAGUAACGCGUGGGAACAUACCCAAAGGUGAGGAAUAGCCUCGGGAAACUGGGAGUAAUACCGUAUGUGGUCGAGAGACGAAAGAUUUAUCGCCAAAGGAUUGGCCCGCGUUGGAUUAGGUAGUUGGUGGGGUAAUGGCCUACCAAGCCGACGAUCCAUAGCUGGUUUGAGAGGAUGAUCAGCCACACUGGGACUGAGACACGGCCCAGACUCCUACGGGAGGCAGCAGUGGGGAAUCUUAGACAAUGGGGGAAACCCUGAUCUAGCCAUGCCGCGUGAUCGAUGAAGGCCUUAGGGUUGUAAAGGUCUUUCAGGUGGGAAGAUAAUGACUGUACCACCAGAAGAAGCCCCGGCUAACUCCGUGCCAGCCGCCGCAGUAA